UACAGAGGUGGCAAGCGUUGUUCGGAAUUACUGGGCGUAAAGGGCGAGUAGGUGGCCAUCUAAGUCAGACGUGAAAUCCCCCGGCUUAACCUGGGAACUGCGUCUGAUACUGGACGGCUAGAGUUUGGGAGAGGGAUGCAGAAUUCCAGGUGUAGCGGUGAAAUGCGUAGAUAUCUGGAGGAAUACCGGUGGCGAAGGCGGCAUCCUGGACCAAUAUUGACGCUGAGGAGCGAAAGCCAGGGGAGCAAACGGG
rnacentral:rRNA from 1 species